ensembl:misc_RNA
CUACCCGCCACGCGCUCUUCGCUGGCCUGUGGGACACAGGCCUCCCCCCCACCUCCCCUUCUCGGCCUUCGCGAGUGUGGGCGCCUCGGGGCACUGGCGAGCCGCUCCAG